rnacentral:rRNA from 1 species
UGGGGAAUUUUGCACAAUGGGGGAAACCCUGAUGCAGCGACGCCGCGUGAUUUAGAAGGCCUUCGGGUUGUAAAAAUCUUUUUUACGGGAUGAAAAUGACAGUACCGUAAGAAUAAGGUCCGGCUAAAUACGUGCCAGCAGCCGCGGUAAUACGUAUGGACCGAGCGUUGUCCGGAAUCAGUGGGCGUAAAGGGUACGUAGGCGGCCUAGUAAGUUAGAAGUGAAAUAAUAUAGCUCAAAUAUAUAAAGCUUUUAAAACUGCUAGGCUUGAGAGAUGGAAGGGAAAGUGGAAUUCCUAGGGUAGCGGUGAAAUGCGCAGAUAUUAGGAAGAAUACCGGGGGCGAAGGCGACUUUCUGGUCAUCAUCUGACGCUGAGGUACGAAAGCGUGGGUAGCAAACAGG